rnacentral:rRNA from 1 species
CCUACGGGAGGCAGCAGUGGGGAAUAUUGGGCAAUGGGCGCAAGCCUGACCCAGCAACGCCGCGUGAAGGAAGAAGGCUUUCGGGUUGUAAACUUCUUUUCUCAGGGACGAAGAAAGUGACGGUACCUGAGGGAUAAGCCACGGCUAACUACGUGCCAGCAGCCGCGGUAAGACGUAGGUGGCAAUCGUUAUCCGGAUUUAUUGGGUGUAAAGGGCGUGUAGGCGGGAGCGUAAGGCAGAUGUGAAAACUCAGGGCUCAAACCUGGGCUUGCAUUUGAUACUGUGUUUCUUGAGUGCUGGUGAGGUAAUCGGAAUUAGGUAAGUAGCGGUGAAAUGCGUAGAUAUA